AAAAUCCAUUCGCGAAGAAGAAAAAGAAGAAAGGUGGCAAAAAGAAGAAGAAAAAAUAAUUAGCAUGUUGUCACUGUGCUGCAAUAUUUAUUUUUUUCGCCUCUAGGUGUCAUUUCAUAGCUUAAUUGUAUGCAAU
rnacentral:ribozyme from 1 species